UACGAAGGGGGCUAGCGUUGUUCGGAAUUACUGGGCGUAAAGCGCACGUAGGCGGGUUUGUAAGUAGGGGGUGAAAUCCCAGAGCUCAACUCUGGAACUGCCUUCUAAACUGCAAGCCUGGAGGUCAGGAGAGGCGAGUGGAAUACCGAGUGUAGAGGUGAAAUUCGUAGAUAUUCGGUGGAACACCAGUGGCGAAGGCGACUCGCUGGACUGAUACUGACGCUGAGGUGCGAAAGCGUGGGGAGCAAAC
rnacentral:rRNA from 1 species